GGAUUGCACAAACCCACGGUCCUCAGCUGCAGGCUCCUCCAACGCUGUCAAGCUCAGUAGAUUUUUUGAUAAGGCGCCGCACAGAGGUCCAAGCCCUUUACUCACUCAGCUAUUAUUAUUAUUAUUAUUAUUAUUAUUAUUAUCAUCAUCAUCAUCAUCAUCAUCAUCAUCCGUGGAAAUGUUGCUGUUGCCUUGUAAAGUUAUACUGUGUCCUGGAGUCUGCUGAUUCCUGCUGUCACUGAACAAUGAGAAGGACUUAAGCUGGAGCACUGUUCAUCUGCAUCUCCAGGUUCCCAAGCUGCCUCACGUUAUGCUGAUUUGCAUAGCAACGUAAUAUAAGACUGUUUCUGCAUCAGUUGCUGAAAAAGAUUAAUUUCUACAUUUGAGCUUUUCAACUCUGAAAAAGAAAUUGCUCAGUGGUUAAGAGCAGCUGCUGUUCCUUCAGAGGACUCAGAUUCAGGUCCCAGACCCCACAGCGAGUCGCUCAUAUCCACCUGUAACUCUCUUCUCAAGCAGGUACACACACAGCACAUAUACAUAUAAAUAAUAAUAAAAUAGAAAUUUUAAAAUUUAAGUACUCCCUCCUUACAGAUCUUCCUUAUAGAUCAUUUUUAUAACUAUUUUAGCCUCUGAUAUUUGGGCCCCUUUUCAGUAUAUUACCAUGAGGUGCAAUAGGGGACUACAUGUCCAAUAGGGAAAUUUCAUCUCACUUUUUAACUAGAGUGUGACAAGAAGGGACAGAUGUACACAGGCACUGAUUCCCACAGUUCUCAGAAAGUCCCUGUGACAAAUUCAGGGAGCCUGAAACUACUGCACAAGGAUGCCAGUGAAGCCCACUGACUGCUUGAUGCUGUGUCCUUGCCCACGUGCAGGAUGCAUAGAAUUCCUCGCUGCUUCACGCAGACCCCUCUCGAGGACUGCAGCACUGCUGUAGGGAACAAUAAUUUACAUUGUCGUAGGGAUCCUUUUGGAGCUGACUGGUGGGAAGCUUGGCCUAAUUGCUGUCAUAUGCUAGGAACCUGUUGGGACAUUAUUCUUCCUUAUUCUCUUCGUAUGUCUUAUUUAUUUGUGAGUUUUAUUUACUUUUGAAUCAAAGUCUUACUAUAUAAACCAGAAUGAUCUAAAACUCACUAAAUGGCCCAGGCUUGCCUUGAACUCCUAGUUCUCCUAACUCUGCUUCCUGCGUGUUGGGGUUGGUUACAAAGUCUCAUAAUUAUAGAGUGUAUCACCAUCUCCUGUUCACUGGUGCAUCCUUCCUUCCUUGAGAAAUGAGUACGUAGUAAUGGAAAUAAUCUCAUGGUUUCAAUCCCGUGAGCACCAGGUUUUAAAGAUUGUGUGUGUGGGCUGGAGAGAUGGCUCAGUGGUUAAGAGCACCGACCCGCUCUUCCAGAGGCCCUGAGUUCAAUUCCCAGCAACCACAUGGUGGCUCACAACCAUCUGUAAUGAGGUCUGAUGCCCUCUUCUGGUGUGUCUGAAGACAACUACUUAUAUACAUAAAAUAAAUAAAUCUUU
rnacentral:lncRNA from 1 species